CACUUCAUUGUGUAAGAUACAGAAAAUACAAAAAAUGUACCAUAUUCAAGGAAGCUAAUUUGAGUUUGAUUAUGCAAGGCAUAAAGAAAUAUUUUCCAUCUGCACAAGGAAUACAAAACUUAGGAGAAUCACCAAAAUUGUGAUAAGGCAAUCAUAAGAAUUAAUCAAGCAUAAUGCUUGUACAAAUUGUGGACUUUAUUAUACUGUGAUGGGUGGCAGUUGGAGGGAAAUUAUUACCAACAUCAUAACAGCAAAUGGAACAUACACUUUGAACUUGUCUGGAUAACGCUGCUGGAUAACGCUGCUGAAUGGGAGGACUGUUUCGUUCGACUACGUAUAAAUAAAUAAUAUUCGAACUCCGAAGUUGAGUGGUUUUGUCUUGGGACACCCACACUACAAAUGGCUCCCCGAUCGAGGUUGGCGUAGUCCAGAGCCAGGCCGUCGUGUCCUCCAGACCAGACGUUGAGGGGAUUUUGUCUGCGUUUUGACGCCCAGAAGAGGUCGAGAAGCCCAGCAUAUCCGCCGGCACCUCCGUAUUGGUAUACCUCCCCGUCCCUUUCCCCUUUUAACGGUUUGCUAUGUUUAUUCCCAGCGUUAGUGCAACUAUGUUUUUUAUAAUGAAACUCUUAUUAUUAUACAGCUUUAAAUCUUUUAUUUCUUAUUUGAUACGAUAUUUUAAAGAUAGGAACCCUCUGCGAUUACCCGUCCAUUAUCAUCCAGACAGCAAAGAGGAGAAGGAGGCGGUGGAGGGAAUGUUGGUCGAAUGUUGGGCAGAAAACGGAAUUGAGAUGAUAAAAAAUGCGCCCAAAAUCGGCGUUAUUGGGCGGCGUUAUUUUAACAGUUCACAAUAGUGUUUUCAGCUUCCGCUUCCCUAGUAACAUGUUUCAUCCUGUUAUAUUUUGAAAUAAUAAAAUAAUAUAGAUUGAACAAUAA